GGGAUUGCAGCUCUCUUAGUGCCCCAAAGCCUGCUGAGCCCCCUUAAGCUGGAGGCAGACCCCAAGAUCCAGGCUGUGCACACAUAGGAGAAGGAGUUCAAGAAUCUUAACAGCAAAUUUACCUCCUUUACCAAGCAGGUGAAUGGGAUUCUGGAGACUGAAUGGAGCCUGGAGCAAUAGUUGAAAGCGGCUUGGAGCCCGCGGCUAAGGCGGCAGAGAGCUGCAUGGCCUUGGGUGGCGGCUGCUGGCCUGGCCCGGGAGAAGCCGCGGCCCAGGAGGAGAGCUGCGGGCCCAGGAGGAGAGCUGCGGGGCCCAGGAGGAGAGCUGCGGGGCCCAGGAGGAGAGCUGCGGGGCCCAAGAGGUGAGCUGCGGGCCCAGGAGGAGAGCUCGGGCCCAGGAGGUGAGCUGCGGGGCCCAGGAGGUGAGCUGCGGGGCCCAGGAGGAGAGCUCGGGCCCAGGAGGAGAGCUGCGGGCCCAGGAGGAGAGCUGCGGGCCCAGGAGGUGAGCUGCGGGCCCAGGAGGAGAGCUCGGGCCCAGGAGGUGAGCUGCGGGCCCAGGAGGAGAGCUGCGGGCCCAGGAGGAGAGCUGCGGGGCCCAGGAGGAGAGCUGCGGGGCCCAGGAGGAGAGCAGCGGGGCCCAAGAGGUGAGCUGCGGGCCCAGGAGGAGAGCUCGGGCCCAGGAGGUGAGCUGCGGGGCCCAGGAGGUGAGCUGCGGGGCCCAGGAGGAGAGCUCGGGCCCAGGAGGAGAGCUGCGGGCCCAGGAGGAGAGCUGCGGGCCCAGGAGGUGAGCUGCGGGGCCCAGGAGGAGAGCUCGGGUUCAGGAGGUGAGCUCGGGCCCAGGAGGAGAGCUGCGGGGCCCAGGAGGAGAGCUGCGGGGCCCAGGAGGAGAGCUGCGGGCCCAGGAGGAGAGCUCGGGCCCAGGAGGAGAGCUGCGGGCCCAGGAGGUGAGCUGCGGGGCCCAGGAGGUGAGCUGCGGGGCCCAGGAGGAGAGCUCGGGCCCAGGAGGAGAGCUGCGGGCCCAGGAGGAGAGCUCGGGCCCAGGAGGAGAGCUGCGGGAGAGCCCGUCCAGAGGCGGGGCUGGCCGAGGGCUCCGGAGUACAUGGGAGGAAGCGCCCCAAGAGCGCAGAGAUGCAGACGCCAACUGUCCUGGUCAGGAAGGCCGCGGGCGACUUGGCCGGAGGGAGGCGGCGGGGACCGUCCGGAGGGCGUCGUGGGGCUGCGGGGGUGGGGGUGGGGGGACGAAGGGCCGCAGCCGCUGCCCGCCCGUGGCCAGCCCUGCUCCCCGGACCAGAUGGCAUCGUCGCCCGGGUCAAGGGCCGGUGCAAGGCGAUCGCCGGCCGCAGCCAGGCCGCGGCUCACACCGGGUGCACCCUGA
rnacentral:lncRNA from 1 species